UUUAAGAUAAAAUAUAGGAGGAAGGAAAAAUUAUAUUUAAAACUCAUACCACCUGUAGUGUGUCUGCCCUCUAAUAGAGAUGAUGUAACUUGUCCCAGUGGGGAGAUACAGCAGUUUCUCCCCUUGGCAAAAACUAGUGAAGGAAGUAGGAGGUGUGAGAUUCCCAGUGCAAGACUCAUUUAAGUUUACCAGCGAAUCCAAAGUCUUUAGAAAUGCAAAAAAUGAAAAAAAAAAAAAAUGUUCAGGGCUCAGAGACUAAAGAAAGCAAAAUUUGUUGACAUAAAAUAGAAGGAGGUUUUGUUUGUUUGUGGAUUGUUUCCAUGUUGGUUUUGUUUUUUGUUGAUGAGCAGUGGAGCUAAUAAAAUAAAAAGGAGCUAAGUGAAUGGCUGGAUGGAAGAGACAGAAGUCUAAUCUGGUGGAAGUAUCUAACAGAAUGGUUUAAGAACAGAACAUGGGGUAUAAAAUGACAAAUUGAGCAUGUGGGUCUACCAUCCCUCUCCCUCAAGUUCCAGUAGAAUGAAAGAAAAUAUGUAUAUACACAUAUGAUUAAUACUGUAAUAGUGCUCUCAAGUGGCUUCUCCGGUGGCUCAGUGGUAAAGAGUCUGCAGUGCAGGAGCCAAGGGGACAUGGGUUCAAUCCCCGGGUCAGGAAGAUCCCCUGGAGGCAGACAUGGCAACCCACUCCAGUAUUCUUGCCUGGGAAAUUCCAUGGACAGAAGAGCCUGGAGGGCUACAGUCCAUAGUGUCACAAAGAGUUGGACACAACUGAGGUGACUUAGCACACACGCACGCUGGCAAGUGAGAAAGAAAGCAGGCAGUGCUUGAGGGCUUUAAGGAAGUCUUGGAGACUGAAAGGAGAGUCGUGAAGAAAAGGGAGAAGAGUGAUCCAUUGGCCCAAAACAGCAGAGUAAGAUCAGUCGUGGAGUCCCAGAGAGGUUCCAACCUUCUUCGGUUCAGAGUCAAACUAGAAAGAGCCAGAGCAGGCUGCCGGCCAGUCAGAGAUGUUAGCCAAGCAUUCCCAGGGUGGAGCAGAACCGCAGAACUGACAGUGGGAGAGAGAAGAUAGAGAUAAAAAGUGGGAUAACUGACAUAAGAGGGAAGAGAUAAGUCAAAACACAGAAGAGAAUUCUGUUGAGACCAGGGGAAAAGUAUUGGAGGAUAUAAGGGAGGAGAUUGGUCAAUGUGAUCAGGACAUUUGUGUUUGCAGCUUGGUGCUUGUGAAAGUUAGGUUCCUGUGCUGUCUUACAGACUGGGAAAUCUGGGCACUGUUUCCUUUGGUGAUUACAUUUCAAAGGCCUUUGAAAAAGACAUUUUGGGAGUGUGAAACUGGGAAGAGGCUAGGAGAAGAUUUACAUCUCAUUGUGACAGAAAGAAUUUACAAUUGCAAGUUUUCUAAAGUUAAGUGGAAGUCACUCAGUCAUGUCCAACUCUUUGUGACCCCAGGGACUAUACAGUCCAUAGUAUUCUCCAGACCAGAAUACUGGAAUGGGUAACCUUUCCCUUCUCCAGGGAAUAUUCCCAACCCAGGGAUCGAACCCGGGUCUCCCGCAUUGCAGGAAAUUUCUUUACCAGCUGAGCCACAAGGGAAGCUUGUGGAAGGGAGCAUGUCUAAAGCAAAUGAAGGGAGCAUCCCUGGGAGCACUCCAGAAUACUGGAGUGGGUAACCUUUCCCUUCUCCAGGGGAUCUUCCCAACCCAGGGAAGGGAGCAUUUCUAAAGUAAAUACUCUAAGAGAAAGGAAGUCAGGAAGAAACAUGGCUAAGGCCAUCUUGGUCAUCACUAUGCAUUGAAAAUGGGCACUAAGUAAAGGUUCUUUAUGGAAUGUAAAUUGCCUUUCUUUAAACUGCAAUAAAAUGUCUGUAUUAAUUUCCUGUUGCUGCUAUAACAAAUUUCCACAAGCUUGUAGUAACAGUUCUGAAAAUCGGAUGUCUCACUGGCAAGAAAAUCAAGACUUUAACAGGACUGAUUCUUUUAGCAGGCUAUGGUGGAUAAUCACUGCUUUGUCUUUUCCAGAUUCUAGAGGCUGGGCACAUUCCUUGGCUUGUUGCCCCUUCCAUUUUCAAAGGCAGCAGCAUACCAUCUUCUCUUUUCUCUGAGUCUGCUUCCAUUGUUAAUUUGCUUCGCUGACCUUGAUUUUCCUUCCUCUCUCUUUAGAGACCUGUUUGUUGUGUCCCCCUGCCCCAGGUAAUCCAGGAUAAUCCCCCCACCUCAAGAUCCUCAAAUUACUUAUAUUUGCAAUGUCCUUUUUGCCAUGAAAGGUGCCAUAUUCACAAGUUUUGAGAUAAGCAUGUGCACUCUUCAGGGGUCCACUUUUCUGCCUUCCCCUACUUUUGUAGCAUGGUACUCAUUUCCUGCUGUCAAUUCAGGAUCGCUGAUUUCAUCUCUCACCCCCAUUGUCCCCCAAAGGUCUAGGAAAGAGGCCUGGGAAAUAACAUUUAUACACGCAUAUGCAUGUGAGCAUACAUCACAGGGCACUAACAGCAGCUUUCACCAAAACUGACAGUUCUCUUCUACUGUACUCCUGAGUCUGUGUCUGCAGGCCCCAGGGGCAUGAUUUCUCCCAGGCUGGGGACUUGCUGGCCUCUCUUCUCCUCCGUAGAUUGGCCCAGGGUAUCCAGUCCCGGUGCCUAUCCAGACGUGUUUCUCAUGAGGAUGCUGGUUUCACCUGCGAAUUGCCAUGCAAUGCCAAGGCCUCUGGUUUUGGGAUUUUAAUUUCACUAGAUAAUGAUCCUGGUGAUUUUAAACAUUUCCUGUUUCUUGUUAAACUGCCUGCCCGAUUCAGCUCCAAAUAACAGCUUUUAGUAUACAAGUGAAAAUUUAGCUCCUAGUAUUUAACAACUACUAUAAUUUUAAAAUCUACUUUCAAUUAAGUAACCUUGUAAUUCUGAAAAGUGGUUGUGUUCCAAAGAACUGCUGAAAUGCCAACUGAAUACAAGUCCACUUUAUGUCUAGCAGAAACUAUAGAGUUGUCAUGUGGCUUAGCAAUGAAAAUUUCAUUCAGUAGUGCUACUGACAUGACUGGUAUAGUGCGGCAUUUAAUAUUUGUCUUUAUACAUCCCCCCCAUGAUGUCAGAACAAUCUCCAGUAAUCAAAAGAAAUGAGAGCUAGAAUAAAGUAUUUGUUAAAUCUAAAUAUAUACAGUUGACAUUUUUAAGAAAAUGUGCAUAAGAGAUAUAUUGAUUUAGGAAAUGAAGAUCAUUUAUGAAUCUGAAAGCAGGGUAGCUUUUGAGACUAUGACAAUAAUUUCCUUUCUGUAGCCAAAAUUCUUCAUGGAGUCAGUUUUCCGAAAAGAAGUGUAGUCUCUAAGGCAGUACCCCAUUAGGGAUUUAUUCUAAUAGGAAUAAGUCAUUAAAAAUCAAGUCCAAGUUUCAUAGCAAAAAAAAAUUAUUUCAUAUUUAAAAACUAUGUUUUCUUAGGUGAAACUGGUGUAGAUAGUUGACCAUAGAAGUGAGGUGAAGAACUGAGUGCUUGGAGAUGUUAUCUGCUUUAUAAUAAACUUGAAAUUCAUUCAUUUAACCCUUACUGGACAUUGACUAGCUCCAGAUGAUUGCAGUCAUUAGAAAAGAGAAAAUUGCUUUAAAAAGAAUACAAAUCUAUCAUAGUUUCAUAUAUUAAAGGUGAACCAUAUCUGUCUUUUAAAAUGAAAUAAAGAACAAGUUUGUGGUAAAUAUAUAGCUUUUGUUCCCCUAGCAAUAUUUAUCUCAUAAUUGUUUUUUUUAAAUAAACAUCAUUGAAAUUAUUUUUAAAAAGCUUCAUAUUUUUGCUUAUUUAUUUGUAAGAUUAUAUUUCAACAGAUGUAAGUCAAAAAUGUGCAAGCUUGAUUUUUUUCUCUUUGUUAUUUUCUCUUAGUUUUUUUUUUUUUCAGAUCAUCGCUCAGCCUUGGAGAAUUGUUUUGAUAAGAGAGAGGUCUUUGAGAGGGUUUGCAGUGCUUCAUGGCUUGUGCAAGCAGGCAGGCAGUUUUCUUUUUGUCUUUUUAUCUGGUCAAGGACAUUUACAUAUUAUGUCAAUAAGCACACAGAAAUUUAUAGACUGGGGCUGAGCAAAAAUGGCUUUUUCUCAAUAGACACAGAACUAAAAAUAUGAAAUCAAACACAUUCAUAUUUGAGGAGGCUCAGCCUGCGUUGUGCACAUUCUUCUUUUUAAUACAUAUUUUUUUAAUGCCAGUGGAAAUUUAAACAGUAUUUAUCAAAACAGAGACGCAUUGAUGGCAUGUGUUGAUUUCAUUUCAACCCUUCAAGUUCUACAAUGGACAGAGCUGUGGUUGACAUCUAGCCCAUGGGGCCAGGUUUGCCACUAACCUGAUUGUUGACUCCCUGGGGAUUAUACUUUUCAUCAGUAAUAUGGUUCUGUUGUCCCCAAUAAAAGAAACAUACUUAAUUCAAACUUUUAAAGAGUGUCUGAACACAUAUAUUUAAACACAUUUAUCACAUAUUACAAAGAAUUUUUUGAGGUAAUCAAAAAAGAUUUCAAGAGAAAGAAAAAAAACCCUUAAAAAAAAAACCAACAUACUAAUGCUCAAUGAUAUUGUUUUGAUAUAGUGUGGUAAAGUCUGUUAGCUGACUAUCUUUAAUCUAUCAAUUUGAAUUUAUUUUUCCAAUAAUUAACUCAAUACUAAACAAAAGCAAUUCCAAAUUCCAACAUAAAGUUGUAAUACCAAGCCUGGUGUGGGUACAUCCAGGCUAACUCCUCAUAGCUAACAGGUUUCUGAAUGUGGCUUUUCCUUUUAUGCAGAGAAUGGACUGAUUAGUUUCUCAAACAAUAAACAUUUUUUUGGUUUCUGAAACUGAUUACUCUAUUACCUCUAUUACACACAGAUCAGCAGGCUGUGUUUGGUAACAAAGGUAGGAGCUAAACUCGUCAUAGUUGUUGCCAACAAUUUAUGAAGGAGUAAUCCAGUUCAUAGGAAAUGAGGUACUUCAAGUAUUCGAUGAAUAGAAGGUUUUUCUCUGUCAGUAUGGAUUCAGCUUCAAACAUGUCUCAUACUGAUCUCUAGACUAUUGCUGUAUGCCAUGUUGAUCCAUGCAGGAAUAAUUGUAAAGAGUUUCCAGGAUUUCUUUUACUAUCAGAAAAAUCACCCUGGAAUCACUUUACUUGUGGCUUAUAGUGAAAAACAUCGGUCUGAGCAUUUUGAGCUUACAGCCAUGGAUAAGGUGUAUAAUUUGUUUGGUGCUGGGUUCUGUGACAUGAAAAGUAAAUUGCUAUUGGAAGAAGUAGUGGGAAGAGGGAUCUUAUUAUAGGAAAAAAAAAGGUGUUUUCAGCAGCAAAGAUUUUUAAGGUUUAAGUGUUUCUUUUUAGACUUGCUGGCUUGACCCUCCUAAUCAGCCCCCUUAUUGCCAUCCCAUGAAAGCGUGGGGUUUUUAAACUGAUGAAGUAGGUAAACACAGGUGAUGUCUUUUCUCUGUUGAUGUUAUGAGAAUAUCCCAGUUCACUGGAAGAAUUGCCAAUAGUUUAAAAUUAAUGUCAUAAUUUUUAUUUAAAUUGAAUGGUGAAUGCAUAUAAAACAUUUUAAAAUUGUACAUACCCUUUAAGCCAGACAAUUCACUUUUAAGAACAUGGAUUAAUCAUGAGUCUGAACCAAGAUUUUGCUGGCAGAUUAGGUGUUAGUUGCUUGGUCAUGUCCAGCUCUUUGCUACUCCAUGGACUAUAGCCCACCAUCUCCUCUCUCCAUGAACUUCUCCAGGCACGAAUAUUGUAGUGGGUUGCCAUUCCAUUCUCCAUGGUGGCAGGUUUAAAAUAGGCAAAAGAAAGAACAAUUUGAAUAUCCAACUGUGGUCUGAAUAAGCAUAUUGAGGUUUAUAUAACCUAGCAAAAUUUAAGUAAGGAAGAUUCAUUCUUUGCAGCAAUGAUAAAUUCAUAUAGUCAGUAUAAAUGUAUCAAGCACCUCCUAUAUGUCAGUCAUUUAAGUACUGAAUAUAAAGCAAUAAGAAGGAAGACAAAGUUGCAAUCUCACUGAAUUUCCAUUAUGUAUAGAGGAUUCACAUCCUCUCAUUGUGUACAGAGGAUUUAUGUAUAAAGGACAGAAAUGGUAUAGACCUAUCAGAAGCAGAAGAUAUUAAGAAAAGGUGGCAAAAAUACACAGAAGAACUAUACAAAAAAGAUCUUCACAAUUCAAAUAACCAUGAUGGUAUGACAACUCAUCUAGAGCCAGACAUCCUAGAAUGCGAAGUCAAGUAGGUCUUAGGAAGCGUCACUCUAAACAGUGCUAGUGGAGGUGAUGGAAUUCCAUUGAGCUAUUUCAAAUUCUAAAAGAUGAUGCUGUGAAAGUGCUGCACUCAAUAUGCCAGCAAAUUUGGAAAACUCAGCAGUGGCCACAGGACUGGAAAAGGUCCACUUUCAUUCUAAUCCCAAAGCAAGGCAAUGCCAAAGAAUGUUCAAACUACCACACAAUUGCACUCAUUUCACAUGCUAGCAAAGUAAUGCUCAAAAUUCUCCAAGCCAGGCUUCAACAGUGCAUGAACUGAGAACUUCCAGAUGUUCAAGCUGGAUUUAGAAAAGGCAGAGGAACCAGAGAUCAAAUUGCCAACCUCUGUUGGAUCAUCAAAAAAGCAAGAGAGUUCCAGGAAAACAUCUAUUUCUGCUUUAUUGACUAUGCCAAAGCCUUUGACUGUGUGGAUCACAACAAACUGUGGAAAAUUCUGAAAGAGAUGGGAAUACCAAACCACCUGACUUGCCUCCUGAGCAAUCUGUGUGCAAGUCAAGAAGCAAAAGUUAGAACUAGACAUGGAACAACAGACUGGUUCCAAAUUGGGAAAGAACGGCAAGGCUAUAUAUUGUCACCCUGCUUAUUUAACUUAUAUGCAGAGUAUAUCAUGCGAAAUGCCAGGCUGGAUGAAGCACAAGCUGGAAUCAAGAUUGCCAGGAGAAAUAUCAAUAACCUCACAUAUGCAAAUGACACCACCAUUAUGGCAGAAAGUGAAGAAGAACUAAAGAGUCUCUGAUGAAAGUGAAAGAGGAGAGUGAACACGUUGGCUUAAAAUUCAACAUUCAAAAACCGAAGAUAUGGCAUCUAGUUCCAUCACUUCAUGGCAAAUAGAUGGGGAAACAAUGGAAACAGUGAGAGACUUUAUUUUCUUGGGCUCCAAAAUUACUGCAGAUGGUGACUGAGCAAGGAAGAUGCUUGCUCCUUACAAGAAAAGCCAUGACCAACCUGGACAGCAUAUUAAAAAGCAGAGACAUUACUUUGCCAACAAAGGUCCAUCUAGUCAAGGCUAUAGUUUUUCCAGUAGUCAUGUAUGGAUGUGAGAGUUGGACUAUAAAGAAAGCAGAGUGCUGAAAAAUUGAUGCUUUUGAACUGUGGUGUUAGAGAAGACUCUUGAGAGUCCUUUGGACUGCAAGGAGAUCCAACCAGUCCAUCCUAAAGGAAAUCAAUCCUGAAUAUUCAUUGGAAGGACUGAUACUGAAGCUGAAAUUUGGCCACCUGAUGUGAAGAACUGACUCAAUGGAAAAGACCCUGAUGCUGGGAAUGACUGAAGGCAGGAGGAGAAGGGGAUGACAGAGGAUGAUGUUGGAUGGUAUCACCUACUCGAUGGACAUGAGUUUGAGCAAGCUCCGGGAGUUGGUGAUGGACAGAGAAGCCUAGCGUGCUACGUCCAUGGGGUCACAGAGAGUCGGACAUGACUGAGUGACAGAACUGAACUGAUAGAGGAUUGACAGUGAUAGGACAGGAUAUUUAACAUAUAUUUUAAUGGAAAAAGUGAGUGGUCUUAGCAUGAGUUCCCUGGGAAGCAAAUCCAUCAGCUGAUGGCUUAUAUGCUAUUAUUUAGUUAUUAUGGUAUAUAAGCCCAAGCAAAAGCAAGGGUCAGGGAGAGUGAAGCAGGGAAGAAAGGAGAGUCAACAGAAGAUGGCAUUAUUCUCCAGGCAAGAACACUGGAGUGGGUUGCCAUUCCCUUCUCCAAUGCAUGAAAGUGGAAAGUGAAAGUGAAGUCGCUCAGUCGUGUCUGACCCUCAGCGACCCCAUGGACUGCAGCCUUCCAGGCUCCUCUGUCCAUGGGAUUUUCGAGGCAAGAGUACUAGAGUGGGGAGCCAUUGCCUUCUCCGAUUAUUGAUUAUUGAUCUGGUCACUACUAAAUGAAAUCAAGGACUAGAUCAGUGAGACUGAGUUCUCUCUGUUAUAUUAUCUGGACUCUGGAGGUGAGUGUUGAGAGUAGAAAUAAAAUGUAUCUACUGCUUUCUGUCUCCCACUGGCCAGUUCUUUCCUGUAGGAAGUUAACUUCUGCUCUUACUCUAGUGGUUUCAUCUGUGAGCAUCCUGUGGCAUGUCAGGUGUGCCUGUGUGAAGAAGGUCUUGGCGCACCCAGAAGAUGCCUGAGCAUCUGGUGCCUGUUGGACAUGGACUGAGUAGUUUAAAUAGUUCUAAAAUUAGUAUAAUGUCUGGUAGAGAAUUUGUUUUCAAAAUUAAUUAAUUUGCAGAGUUAAUUAAUUAAUGAAUUCUCUUAUCUUUGUUUUCUCUAAAAUGCUAACAUAUAGUUUAGAAAUAUUUUAUAAUUUCAAAAUUUUAUAUAUUGGUAUCUGCUGUGCUUUAUUGGACUUCCUGUUAGAUGAUAAGUUUUGUGAGGGCAAGAUUAUGUAUGCUUAUUCAUUACUCUAUUGCCAGCCUGGCACAUGCCUCUUCUGAAAGAAUAACUUGCUACCUUUCUAGCAGGAAUUUCAGGAAAAAGUAUAUUCUAAGCUAUAAAUAUAAAAAUUAGCUAGCAGUUAAAUUCACUUUAAAAAUGAACCUAAUUUUUAGAAUUCUAAGCAGAAAUAUUUUGAGAUAAAUUAGGGAAAGGGGAGGGGAAACCUUGUCAAAAUUGUCAAAAUGACUGCAGGAUGGAAGCCUCUCCUCCCUGGCUCCAAAUCAGUUUCAAAGAUACACUGAGCUGGCAACAGUGGCCAGUUUAUUGUGAACUGGACAAAGCUCUUUUUUCAUAGCUUCCUUCACUCGGGGCAUAUUUCACUCAAAUAUGUAGAAUGAAAAUAAACACAUUUUAAAGAAAUGCAGAAUGCGAGCCUGACCUUCCAUAUUCAAACUCUGUGCCUCAAGGUUUUCAAGUAGAAUUGUUCUUUCUUUGAAUGUUUUUCUCUUCACCUCUUCUUUUGCCAGCUAGCCAACUCAGUUUUCAGGUUUUGGAACAAAUGCCAUUUCCUCUGAGAAGACCUCCUGUCUCCAAGAUUAUUUCGGAUCUGCCUUUUUCUAUGAU
ensembl:lncRNA